ACAUCACUACAACCACCACUACGAUUACCACCGAAACCAUGAGUUGCGGUGCGGGCUGACACAUACACAUAAAAUAACAAUAAGCCCGUAUCCCACAAGAUACGGGCUUUUUUUUG
rfam:Xenorhabdus vietnamensis strain DSM 22392 Xvie_1, whole genome shotgun sequence.